rnacentral:rRNA from 1 species
CACGUAGGGUCCGAGCGUUGUCCGGAAUUACUGGGCGUAAAGCGCGCGCAGGCGGUCCGGUCAGUCGAUGGUGAAAGCCCCACGCUCAACGUGGGAAGGUCCGUCGAGACGGCCGGACUGGAGGCAGGGAGAGGCCGGUGGAAUUCCGGGUGUAGUGGUGAAAUGCGUAGAGAUCCGGAGGAACACCAGAGGCGAAGGCGGCCGGCUGGACCUGACCUGACGCUGAGGCGCGAAGGCGUGGGGAGCGAAC